rnacentral:rRNA from 1 species
UGUUUGAUGUUCUAACGUGGACCCGUAAUCCGGGUUGCGGACAGUGUCUGGUGGGUAGUUUGACUGGGGCGGUCUCCUCCUAAAGAGUAACGGAGGAGCACGAAGGUUGGCUAAUCCUGGUCGGACAUCAGGAGGUUAGUGCAAUGGCAUAAGCCAGCUUGACUGCGAGCGUGACGGCGCGAGCAGGUGCGAAAGCAGGUCAUAGUGAUCCGGUGGUUCUGAAUGGAAGGGCCAUCGCUCAACGGAUAAAAGGUACUCCGGGGAUAACAGGCUGAUACCGCCCAAGAGUUCAUAUCGACGGCGGUGUUUGGCACCUCGAUGUCGGCUCAUCACAUCCUGGGGCUGAAGUAGGUCCCAAGGGUAUGGCUGUUCGCCAUUUAAAGUGGUACGCGAGCUGGGUUUAGAACGUCGUGAGACAGUUCGGUCCCUAUCUGCCGUGGGCGCUGGAGAACUGAGGGGGGCUGCUCCUAGUACGAGAGGACCGGAGUGGACGCAUCACUGGUGUUCGGGUUGUCAUGCCAAUGGCACUGCCCGGUAGCUAAAUGCGGAAGAGAUAAGUGCUGAAAGCAUCUAAGCACGAAACUUGCCCCGAGAUGAGUUCUCCCUGAGACUUAAAGUCUCCUGAAGGAACGUUGAAGACGACGACGUUGAUAGGCCGGGUGUGUAAGCGCAGCGAUGCGUUGAGCUAACCGGUACUAAUGAACCGUGAGGCUUAACCUUAC